UAGAUUGAAGAAGCUUGCUUCUGAUUGAUAACAUUUGAGUGAGUGGCGGACGGGUGAGUAACACGUGGGUAACCUGCCCUAAAGUGGGGGAUAACAUUUGGAAACAGAUGCUAAUACCGCAUAAAACCUAGCACCGCAUGGUGCAAGGUUGAAAGAUGGUUUCGGCUAUCACUUUAGGAUGGACCCGCGGUGCAUUAGUUAGUUGGUGAGGUAAAGGCUCACCAAGACCGUGAUGCAUAGCCGACCUGAGAGGGUAAUCGGCCACACUGGGACUGAGACACGGCCCAGACUCCUACGGGAGGCAGCAGUAGGGAAUCUUCCACAAUGGACGAAAGUCUGAUGGAGCAACGCCGCGUGAGUGAAGAAGGUUUUCGGAUCGUAAAACUCUGUUGUUGGAGAAGAACGUAUUUGAUAGUAACUGAUCAGGUAGUGACGGUAUCCAACCAGAAAGCCACGGCUAACUACGUGCCAGCAGCCGCGGUAAUACGUAGGUGGCAAGCGUUGUCCGGAUUUAUUGGGCGUAAAGCGAGCGCAGGCGGUUUCUUAAGUCUGAUGUGAAAGCCUUCGGCUCAACCGAAGAAGUGCAUCGGAAACUGGGAAACUUGAGUGCAGAAGAGGACAGUGGAACUCCAUGUGUAGCGGUGAAAUGCGUAGAUAUAUGGAAGAACACCAGUGGCGAAGGCGGCUGUCUGGUCUGUAACUGACGCUGAGGCUCGAAAGCAUGGGUAGCAAACAGGAUUAGAUACCCUGGUAGUCCAUGCCGUAAACGAUGAGUGCUAGGUGUUGGAGGGUUUCCGCCCUUCAGUGCCGCAGCUAACGCAUUAAGCACUCCGCCUGGGGAGUACGACCGCAAGGUUGAAACUCAAAGGAAUUGACGGGGGCCCGCACAAGCGGUGGAGCAUGUGGUUUAAUUCGAAGCAACGCGAAGAACCUUACCAGGUCUUGACAUCCUUUGACCACUCUAGAGAUAGAGCUUUCCCUUCGGGGACAAAGUGACAGGUGGUGCAUGGUUGUCGUCAGCUCGUGUCGUGAGAUGUUGGGUUAAGUCCCG
rnacentral:rRNA from 1 species